rnacentral:miRNA from 1 species
UCCAGGUCUUGGAGUAGGUCAUUGGGUGGAUCCUUUAUUUCCCUAUGUGGGCCACUGGAUGGCUCC